AAGUCGUAACAAGGUUUCCGUAGGUGAACCUGCGGAAGGAUCAUUAAUGAACAGAGCGUCUUACGCUCUUUAGGCUCCACGUGCGCUGAGCGCUGCUUCGUUGGGUGUAAAGACUGAGUCGAUUCCGACGUUGUAUCUCGCCGCGUGUCCUACAAACCACUUUGUGCACCGUAUAUAUGCAUUUGCGUAGCUUUCUAUUUGUCUGUCUGAUGUUUACAUUCUCUGAUUUUGGCCUUGUUGCCGAAUGAAUGAAAAUAAAAACAACGUUUAACAAUGGAUCUCUUGGCUCUC
rnacentral:misc_RNA from 1 species